AUGCGUCGACACUGCCCACCACGCCGGCACGUCUACCCCUGCACGACCGGCUACACGCCGAUGACGCUCGAGUGCACCUUCUUGAUCAAGGCAAUGCGACGGCUCGAGCGGUUGGGGGUGGCACGACGGCUCGAUGCGGAACGGCGGCGGCGGCGGCUGGAACUUGUAGGGGCUGGGGAGGCUGAUUCGAAGGCGGGCGGUGAGGCGGGGGAACGGUGA
rnacentral:rRNA from 1 species